GACGAACGCUGGCGGCGUGCUUAACACAUGCAAGUCGAACGAAGUGGCGAACGGGUGAGUAACGCGUAAUCAACCUGCCCUUCAGAGGGGGACAACAGUUGGAAACGACUGCUAAUACCGCAUACUGAAGGAGGGGAUUGCGUCUGAUUAGCUAGUUGGAGGGGUAACGGCCCACCAAGGCGAUGAUCAGUAGCCGGUCUGAGAGGGUGACCGGUCACAUUGGGACUGAGAUACGGCCCAGACUCCUACGGGAGGCAGCAGUGGGGAAUUUUGCACAAUGGGCGCAAGCCUGAUGCAGCGACGCCGCGUGAGGGAUGAAGGCCUUCGGGUUGUAAACCUUUUUCGCUCAUGGUCGGGUAGUGGGUAAAGAAGCGCCGGCUAACUACGUGCCAGCAGCCGCGGUAAUAC
rnacentral:rRNA from 1 species